UGGGGAAUCUUGCACAAUGGGGGCAACCCUGAUGCAGCGACGCCGCGUGAGCGAUGAAGGUUUUCGAAUCGUAAAGCUCUGUCCUAUGGGAAGAUAAUGACGGUACCAUAGGAGGAAGCCCCGGCUAACUACGUGCCAGCAGCCGCGGUAAUACGUAGGGGGCGAGCGUUGUCCGGAAUUACUGGGCGUAAAGGGUUCGCAGGCGGCAUGGCAAGUCCGAUGUAAAAGGCGAAGGCUCAACCUUCGUAAGCAUCGGAAACUGUCAAGCUUGAGUGAAGGAGAGGCAAGUGGAAUUCCUAGUGUAGCGAUGAAAUGCGUAGAUAUUAAAAAGAAUACCGGUGGCGAAGGCGACUUGCUGGGCACAAUCUGACGCUGAGGAACGAAAGCGUGGGGAGCAAACAGG
rnacentral:rRNA from 1 species